CCAAAGCAAAUCCUAACCAUCCCUUUGUGGUAUGGAAACUUGUAGUAUAAUUUCAGAGAGAUCCAUACACCAUUCCACAGUUAUUGUCUGGAAACUAGAAAAUGCUUAUUUUUGGCCCCUUUUUGGCCCCUAAUUCCUGAACUGUUGGUACCAUAGCCCCCAAAAACAAUCCCAACCUUCCUUUUGUGGUAUUGAACCUUAUGGUAAAAUUUCAUAGAGAUCCAUUCACUUUAACUAAAGUUAGAGUGCGAAAACCAAUGUGUCUUCGGACGACAUCGACACCAGACGACGACGACGACGACACCAACGUCAUACCAAUAUACGACCACAAAAUUUUAUUAAGGUCAUAUAAAAAUGAAUAAAAUGCUUCGCUGGGGCGCAGCUUGAUACGACCGCAGAGGUCGAACCCUGAACAGUUGGGGCAAGUAUGGACACAACAUUCAAGCUUGAUACAGCUCUGAAUUUGGAUUGUUAUUAAAUAUUUGACACAGCAUAGGUUUCUGACACAGAAAGAAUGUGGUCUAAGAACUUGAAUUUUUUUAAUUUACCUAUUAUAGUCCAAUGUCCAAAAUCAAAAUACAUGGUUAGAUUCAGCAUAUCAAAGAACCCCAUAUAUUCAAUUUUUGUUGAAAUCAAACAAAGUUUAAUUUUGGACCCCAACUUGGACAAACUUGAAAACUGGGCCCAUAAUCAAAAAUCUAAACACAUUUUUAGAUUCAGCAUAUCAAAGAACCCCAAGAAUUCAAUUUUUGUUAAAAUCAAACUAAGUUUAAUUUUGUACCCUUUGGACCUUAAUGUAGACCAAUUUAAAAAACGGGACCCAAAAUUAAAAAUCUAAAUACACGGUUAGAUUUGGAAUAUCAAAGAACCCCAAUAAUUCAAUUUUUGAUGAAAUCAAACAAAGUUUAAUUUUGGACCCUUUUGACCUCAAUAUGAACCAAUUUGAUAGCGGGGCCCACAAAUAAAAAAUCUAAAUACAUGGUUAGAUUCAGCAUAUCAAAGAACCCAAUAUAUUCAAUUUGUGUUGAAAUAAAAAAAAGUUUAAUUUGGACCCCAAUUUGACCAACUUGAAAACUGGGCCCAUAAUAAAAAAUCUAAAAACAUGUUUAGAUUCAGCAUAUCAAAGAACCCCAAGAAUUCAAUUUUUGUUAAAAUCAAACUAAGUUUAAUUUUGGACCCUUUGGACCUUAAUGUAGACCAAUUUAAAAAAUGGGACCCAAAAUUAAAAAUCUAAAAACACAGUUAGAUUUGGCAUAUCAAAGAACCCCAAUAAUUCAAUUUUUGAUGAAAUCAAAACAAAGUUUAAUUUUGGACCCUUUUGACCUCAAUAUGAACCAAUUUGAUAGCGGGCCCACAAAUAAAAAAUCUAAAUACAUGGUUAGAUUCAGCAUAUCAAAGAACCCCAUAUAUUCAAUUUUUGUUGAAAUCAAACAAAGUUUAAUUUUGGACCCCAAUUUGGACCAACUUGAAAACUGGGCCAAAAAUCUAAAAUCUAAAUACAUGUUUAGAUUCAGCAUAUCAAAGAACCCCAUAUAUUCAAUUUUUGUUGAAAUCAAACAAAGUUUAAUUUUGGACCCCAACUUGAAAACUGGGCCCAUAUCCAAAAAUCUAAACACAUGUUUAGAUUCAGCAUAUCAAAGAACCCCAAGAAUUCAAUUUUUGUUAAAAUCAAACUAAGUUUAAUUUUGGACC